UGAUGCCAAGUCGUGUGCUGGAAACGGCCGCAGAGUAGAAUAUGUGAGUACACUUUCUUAAAAUAAUCUGGUGAGAAUUUGAAAGAACUUGAAGGUGAAGCUGUUGACAGAAAGGGGACAAAGAAAAACCCUUGAACGAAACCAAUCACUCAGUAGAGCCAUCUGUUAGAGAAUUAAAGAAAUACAAUCAGAUAAAGGGAAAUAACUUCUACAACACUUCAACCAUGGUCCAAGUAAAUCAAUUAGGAUGGUUAAUUACUGAACUCUGACUCGUUUAUAUGUGAAUACGGUAAAUUGGCAAAUAUUUACGGUACUACUAGCGAACAGUGGUUCCGGUGCGCGCACUCGCGCUAGCUAGUCGUAAGUAGUCGAUCCUACAAUGACUUUUUAACCCUAACCUUAGUUUGUUUAUAAAAAUAAUUGGCGAUCUUUCGUCUCUAGUAGACCUUUCCGUCGAUUUCCGUAAAAAAAUAUUUUUUUUACAUAUGGGCUUGCCAAAUAAUUUAUGGCGAUCCUUCGGUAUACGUACAGUAAGUACCGGAAGUGGCUUUGUUUACAUUUCUGAAGAUAACAGAAACCCUUUUGUCCUAACCCUAACCAAUACACACACACCCCCCCCCAUAUGUAUAAAAAAAACACUUUCUUGAAGUGUAUCCGGUACCUAUACCGAAGUUACGCCAUCCCACCCUCCAAAUUUCUUAAAACAAUUCCUUUUGGCAAAAUACGGAGAUUAUGAUUGUGAAAAAAAAUUUUUUUACAGGACAAUUUGGGUAUGGGGAAGUAAUUUACAAAGAUUUUAAUGAAACAUAUCAACCAACUGCUCUUAAAAUCUAAGAUUUUAAAACUAUUUAACUUACAUUACGCAGUUAAAGGGCAGUACUGUAUAUCUUCUGACUCCGGAUUUGUGAUGAAGGGGUGUAUAUAAUUUUACUGUCCCAAUAAAUAAUUGGUGCAGAAUUCUUUGUUUUUGUUUUCUGUAGCAGAGAUAAAUAAAUAAAUACCUGGCCAGGUACUGGUGUAAGAUAGUUUGAACGAAUACCCAGCCUUUUUUACCCUUUCUUUUAAAUCUCGCCAAAAACAGUUGAUGUUUUGUGUGCGUAUGUGUAGUGUCAACAAAAUUUUUUUGCGGUUUAUUAUGUAAUGUUGACAACCCAGUGUUUAUAGGCACAGGAGUGGCUGUGUGGUAAUUAACUUGCUUACGAACUACAUGGUUCCGGGUUCAGUCCCACUACGUGACACCUUGGGCAAGUGUCUUCUACUAUAGCCUCGACCAAAGCCUUGUGACUGGAUUUGGUAGAUGGAAACUGAAAGAAGCCCGUCGUAUUUAUAUAUAUAUAUAUAUAUAUAUAUCGAAAUCGAUCAACAUCAAUGGAAAUUGCAGCAGUGAUACCAGUGCUGGUGAUACGUAAGAAAACCAUCCAAACGUGGCCGUUGCCAGCGCCGCCCCGACUGGCACGUAAAAGGCACCAUCCGAUCGUGGCCGUUUGCCAGCCUCGUCUGGCCCCCGUGCUGGUGGCACAUAAAAGCACCCACUACACUCACGGAGUGGUUGGCGUUAGGAAGGGCAUCCAGCCGUAGAAGCAUUGCCAGAUCAGAUUGGGCCUGGUGCAGCCUUGUGGCUUCCCAGACCCCAGUUGCACUGUCCAACCCAUGCUAGCAUGGAAAGCGGACGCUAAACGAUGAUGAUGAUGAUGAUGUGUGUGUAUGUGUAUGUUUGUGUGUCUGUGUUUAUUCCAUGGGUGUGAAGACUUAAUGCAUGCUUUUAUUCCAUUAGGUCUUGUCUGUCUUGGAAUGAUUGGUAAUGUAUGUCUGAAGUCCCAUGAUAAAACUAAUGUAACUCCUCCCAUAGAUUUACAAUUGUGAGUGAAAUACCCCAACCACUAAGCCAUGCCACUUCACAGGUGAAACAAAUGAAAGCAGAGAAGAGAAAGAAAACAGAUAAAUAAUUAGAGAAAUGUUGAAGCGAUUCAUCUAUAUACAGGAUGUUGGAAAACUUUCAAAGCCUCAAUGGAUUCUGACCCAUGCAAACGUAGGCAUUAAAUGGAUGACAGUGUUGAUGUUGUAAGAUUUGCAAUGUUGAAUUACUAUGUUGUUUAAUCAUUCUCUUUAUCUCACUGCUUCUUUUCUUAUUUCAGAAUAUCGCAUCAUGUUGACGUUAAAGAAAUUUCUUCGUUCAGAUGUGCCUCUGAUAUUUUUAUUUACUUUCAUCAAUUAAAGGAAGACCAUAUAUUCAUAAGGCACAUUCAUCAACGCAUCAACUUCCUUGUAUAAAUGAAAUCUUCAGCAAACGAUGGGAAAAUAUUUCUUCUGGACAAUGUAAUUAAGAGCAACAUUUUUGUUGUCUUCACUAUCUUGGAAUGUAGAGGAGAUCAUCAAUUUACAGGUUAAUUAACUUACUGGUUAAUUAAGUUUACAUCUUCUGUUUUGGAUAUUAACCCUUUAGCAUUUAAACCGGCCAUAUCCGGCCAAAAGUAUUCUGCUUGUUUUAUGUUCAAACUGGCC
rnacentral:lncRNA from 1 species